rnacentral:rRNA from 1 species
GAUGAACGCUGGCGGCGUGCCUAAUACAUGCAAGUCGAACGCAUUGAGAAAAGUGCUUGCACUUUUCAAUUUGAGUGGCGAACGGGUGAGUAACAUGUGGGCAACCUACCUGAUAGCGGGGGAUAACGAGUGGAAACAUUCGCUAAUACCGCAUAACAAUAGAGAAGGAAUCUUCUUUAUUUAAAAGGCGCUUUCAAGCGUCACUAUCAGUAGGGCCGGCGGUGAACUAGUUAGUUGGUGGGGUGAAGGCCUACCAAGACGAUGACGCAUAUCCGAGUGUAGAGACUGAUCGGCCACAUUGGGACUGAGACACGGCCCAAACUCCUACGGGAGGCUGCAGUAGGGAAUCUUCCACAAUGGACGAAAGUCUGAUGGAGCAACGCCGCGUGUGUGAUGAAGGCUUUCGGGUCGUAAGGCACUGUUGUAUGGGAAGAAAUGCUAGGCUAGGAAAUGAGCUUAGUUUGACGGUACCAUACCAGAAAGGGACGGCUAAAUACGUGCCAGCAGCCGCCGUAA